GAUGAACGCUGGCGGCGUGCCUAAUACAUGCAAGUCGAGCGAACGGACGAGAAGCUUGCUUCUCUGAUGUUAGCGGCGGACGGGUGAGUAACACGUGGAUAACCUACCUAUAAGACUGGGAUAACUUCGGGAAACCGGAGCUAAUACCGGAUAAUAUUUUGAACCGCAUGGUUCAAAAGUGAAAGACGGUCUUGCUGUCACUUAUAGAUGGAUCCGCGCUGCAUUAGCUAGUUGGUAAGGUAACGGCUUACCAAGGCAACGAUGCAUAGCCGACCUGAGAGGGUGAUCGGCCACACUGGAACUGAGACACGGUCCAGACUCCUACGGGAGGCAGCAGUAGGGAAUCUGCCGCAAUGGGCGAAAGCCUGACGGAGCAACGCCGCGUGAGUGAUGAAGGUCUGCGGAUCGUAAAACUCUGUUAUUAGGGAAGAACAUAUGGUAAGUAACUGUGCACAUCUUGACGGUACCUAAUCAGAAAGCCACGGCUAACUACGUG
rnacentral:rRNA from 1 species